GAAUCAGAAUGCCGUUGUCAGAAUCUGUUAUUGUAAUGAUUUGGAUCAAUGUCCGCGUCUGCCUCCCCUUUACUGUCCUGCUCAUCGCUUUGUGCUGCAUGGUGAGACUGGAUCAUGGUCCUGUCGCCUACUACAUCAACCUGCUCUUCUUUAAUCUGAUUCAGCUCAUCCUUCUGGUUGGUCAAACUCUGGUUCCUCCUUAUUACAGGAGACCUUAUUAUAUCCCAGUGGAAAUUUAUGCCUGUUGUGCAGUGGCCAGUCUUUGCUUCAGGAUGAACAUCGCUCUAGAAAGGUGUUUUCUCAUCUCCUACCAGCUGCCAUGCUGUGUGACACAGACCAGGGGUUUUGUGAUCGUCUGUGUUUGUGUCUGGGUGUUCAGUCUUGGUUGUGGCUUUCUGUUUGUGAUAUUUGAAUAUUAUUUGUUCUUCCCAAUUAUUGCCCUUCUUCCUGGGCCUGUGUUCUUAAU